rnacentral:rRNA from 1 species
UACGGAGGGGGCUAGCGUUGUUCGGAAUUACUGGGCGUAAAGCGCACGUAGGCGGUUAUUCAAGUCAGAGGUGAAAGCCUGGAGCUCAACUCCAGAACUGCCUUUGAAACUAGAUAACUAGAAUCAUGGAGAGGUCAGUGGAAUUCCGAGUGUAGAGGUGAAAUUCGUAGAUAUUCGGAAGAACACCAGUGGCGAAGGCGGCUGACUGGACAUGUAUUGACGCUGAGGUGCGAAAGCGUGGGGAGCAAACAGG